CACUCCAGGCAAUGGGAAAAGAGACACUUUGUUGAUGGUGUUAUUCUUUUAUCAGUCAGGGCAGAAGAUGGCAGUCCCUUCUUCAUUCAUCUUAGCUUGCCUGGUUUGGUGGCUAAAACUGUUUUAUGCCUAGGACUCAUAA